UACGUAGGCAGCGAGCGUUUGUUCGGAGUUACUGGGGCGUAAAAGGGUGUGUAGGCGGUUUUCUAAGUUUGGUGUGAAAUCUCCCGGCUCAACCGGGAGGGUGCGCCGAAAACUGGGAGACUAGAGUGCGGGAUGGGAGAGUAGAAUUCCGUGGUGUAGCGGUGAAAUGCGUAGAUAUCAGGAGGAAUACCGGUGGUGUAGACGGCUCUCUGGACCGCCACUGACGCUGAGACACGAAAGCGUGGGUAGCAAACAGG
rnacentral:rRNA from 1 species